rnacentral:rRNA from 1 species
GACGAAGGGGGCUAGCGUUGUUCGGAAUUACUGGGCGUAAAGCGAGUGUAGGCGGUUGUCCAAGUUGGAUGUGAAAGCCUUGAGCUCAACUCAAGAAAUGCAUUCAGGACUGGGUGACUAGAGGACCGGAGAGGAUAGUGGAAUUCCCAGUGUAGUGGUGAAAUACGUAGAGAUUGGGAAGAACACCCGUGGCUAAGGCGGCUCUCUAGUACGGUACUGACGCUGAGACGCGAAAGCGUGGGGAGCGAACAGG